UACGUAGGGUGCGAGCGUUGUCCGGAAUUAUUGGGCGUAAAGAGCUCGUAGGCGGUCUGUCGCGUCGGAUGUGAAAGCCCGAGGCUUAACCCCGGGUCUGCAUUCGAUACGGGCAGACUAGAGUUCGGUAGGGGAGAUCGGAAUUCCUGGUGUAGCGGUGAAAUGCGCAGAUAUCAGGAGGAACACCGGUGGCGAAGGCGGAUCUCUGGGCCGAUACUGACGCUGAGGAGCGAAAGCGUGGGGAGCAAACAGG
rnacentral:rRNA from 1 species